CUGCUGCCUUCCGUAGGAGUCUGGACCGUGUCUCAGUUCCAGUGUGGCUGGUCAUCCUCUCAGACCAGCUAGGGAUCGUCGCCUAGGUGAGCCGUUACCCCACCUACUAGCUAAUCCCAUCUGGGCACAUCCGAUGGCAAGAGGCCCGAAGGUCCCCCUCUUUGGUCUUGCGACGUUAUGCGGUAUUAGCUACCGUUUCCAGUAGUUAUCCCCCUCAUCAGGCGGUUUCCCAGACAUUACUCACCCGUCCGCCACUCG
rnacentral:rRNA from 1 species